AGUAUGUUUCCCUCUGUGUCAAGAAUUUUUUUUCUAUUGUCUUAUUAAAAAUAUAAAAAUAAAAUCUCAUCAAUUUUUUUUUUUUUUUUUCCAUUAUAAUCUUUUUAGGAAGUUUGGUCGUUAACGGUUUGGUUAUGAAGAACAAAACAGACAUGCAUGACAUUUAUCAUCAGUCCAAAAAAAUUUCACUAAUAUAGCAUGAAAUUUAUUUUUGCUACUGAAGUCCGUGUAUUAUCCGCAGAUCUAGAAUGACAAAACAAUACUCAUUUUGACUGAUUUGAAAUUACCAGUAUGCCCUAUUUCAAUUAUAAACCACACAUCUGUAUAUUUCAACUGCAAAACCUAAAAGCUCGAUUGAGAGAGAGAGUGAAUUGCUAAUGGUGCAACGAGUGAUUAAUCGAUUAGUCUCAGCUGGUGCAAUAUAAUGAUUUCUUAUACUCCAUAUUAAAAACAUGCAUAGGAAGAGGGCAGGCUGCAAAGUACAGAGUGAAGGGAGUCAAGGGAGAAGCUCAUGAUAUGAAAAACAGGCAUGUUUUUUGGUAAUAUAAUCAUAAUUCAUAAACUUUUGGCCUCAAAUUGAACAGUUUAUGGGAUCAAGUUCCCCUCCCCUAGUUUGCCAGGAUUAUAUAUAUAUAUAUAUAUA